rnacentral:rRNA from 1 species
GAUAGCGGAGGGGUUCCACACGUACCCAUCCCGAACACGACCGUUAAGCCCUCCAGCGCCGAUGGUACUUGGACCGAAGGGUCCUGGGAGAGUAGGACGCCGCC